rnacentral:lncRNA from 1 species
CAUAUUACUAUAGUUCGCCGCCUCCUCCAAAGAAGUCUCCUCCACCUCCUUAUUAUUACAAGUCUCCACCGCCUCCAUCACCAUCACCACCGCCGCCUUAUUACUACAAGUCUCCUCCUCCUCCAUCACCAUCCCCUCCUCCUCCUUAUUACUAUAAAUCUCCACCACCACCAUCUCCUUCUCCUCCACCACCUUAUUAUUACAAGUCUCCACCACCACCCUCGCCAUCCCCUCCACCCCCAUACUACUAUAAAUCACCUCCGCCACCGUCUCCAUCGCCUCCUCCACCUUACUAUUACAAGUCACCACCACCACCGUCCCCUUCCCCACCCCCGCCGUACUACUCCACGUCACCACCGCCCCCCUCCACUUUCCACCACCAACCACCAUAUUAUUACAAGUCUCCACCGCCACCUUCACCUUCUCCUCCGCCACCAUACUACUAUAAAUCCCCACCACCACCAUCUCCAUCUCCUCCACCACCGUACUACUACAAGUCCCCACCACCACCAUCUCCAUCUCCUCCACCCCCAUACUACUACAAGUCUCCACCUCCGCCAUCACCUUCUCCUCCUCCGUACUACUACAAGUCUCCACCUCCACCAUCACCAUCUCCUCCUCCUCCUUACUACUACAAAUCGCCUCCACCACCUUCUCCUUCCCCACCGCCACCAUACUACUAUAAAUCCCCUCCGCCUCCGUCUCCAUCUCCUCCACCACCAUACUACUAUAAAUCCCCUCCACCGCCGUCUCCAUCUCCUCCUCCUCCGUACCACUACAAGUCGCCGCCACCACCAUCACCAUCUCCACCACCACCAUACUACUAUAAAUCUCCACCACCACCCUCUCCUUCCCCACCACCGCCGUACUAUUACAAAUCCCCACCACCACCAUCACCAUCGCCACCACCACCAUAUUACUACAAAUCACCACCACCACCUUCCCCUUCCCCACCGCCUCCAUACUACUACAAAUCCCCACCACCACCAUCUCCAUCUCCACCACCCCCAUACUACUACAAAUCCCCACCACCUCCGGCUACCUAUUAAAAAGUACUACUCACACAUUAAUUUACACAUACAUGUAAGUACUAGCUUCAUCAUCUUCAUUCCAUUCAAUAAUAUAAGCCUUCAUCGUUAAACCCUCCCCCAACAAUUCAAAUUAUCAUAGGAUAAAAUGAUUAUUAAUAUAGUAACAAAUCCUUGGACAUACAAAAGGUCUAGGCUGAAUCAUAAUAGCCUUAAUUCAUUACAUAAAAAUCUAAAUUUAUCGAAAUUAUGCAAACUUCAUACUUUCAUCCUAACCUAUAUGACAUGUUUGGUCUUGCAGGUGCUGAACUGUUGAGGAAGGGAAUAACUGCGUCAAGACAUAAUUACCCAUUUGGAGAUUAUGAGGAAUUGCUUCAUUGUUUAUAAAUAUUCAAUGUACUUUCAAUUUUCACAAGCUUUAAUUCAUUUGUUUUUGCCAUUUUUAUAAUUUGUUCCAUUUGUCAAUCGGCUCAUCGCACACGUUUAUAAUGAAUGAACAAACACACUAUAUUUUGUUGAAUUACAGUUCUAUAUUUUCCCAACUAUAUUUUUCAAGAAAUUCGAAAAAUUAGAGUUCUUACAA